UACGGGGGGGCAAGCGUUGUUCGGAAUUACUGGGCGUAAAGGGUUUGUAGGUGGCUUGCUAAGUCAGACGUGAAAUCCCUCAGCUUAACUGGGGAACUGCGUCUGAGACUGGCAGGCUUGAGUGCAGGAGAGGAACGCGGAAUUCCAGGUGUAGCGGUGAAAUGCGUAGAUAUCUGGAGGAACACCGGUGGCGAAGGCGGCGUUCUGGACUGUAACUGACACUGAGGAACGAAAGCCAGGGGAGCAAACGGG
rnacentral:rRNA from 1 species